rnacentral:rRNA from 1 species
UACGGAGGGGGCAAGCGUUGUUCGGAAUUACUGGGCGUAAAGGGCGCGUAGGCGGCCUGUUAAGUCGAACGUGAAAUCCCCGGGCUCAACCCGGGAACUGCGUCCGAUACUGGCAGGCUUGAAUUCGGGAGAGGGAUGUGGAAUUCCAGGUGUAGCGGUGAAAUGCGUAGAUAUCUGGAGGAACACCGGUGGCGAAGGCGGCAUCCUGGACCGAUAUUGACGCUGAUGCGCGAAAGCCAGGGGAGCAAACGGG